CCCUACGGGGGGCAGCAGAGGGGGAUAUUGCACAAUGGGGGGAACCCUGAUGCAGCGACGCCGCGUGGGCGAUGGAGUGCUUCGGCAUGUAAAGCCCUAUCAGCAGGGAAGAAAAUGACGGUACCUGACUAAGAAGCUCCGGCUAACUACGUGCCAGCAGCCGCGGUAAUACGUAGGGAGCAAGCGUUAUCCGGAUUUACUGGGUGUAAAGGGCGUGUAGGCGGGCCUGCAAGUCAGAAGUGAAAUCUGGGGGCUUAACCCCCAAACUGCUUUUGAAACUGUGGGUCUUGAGUGAUGGAGAGGCG
rnacentral:rRNA from 1 species